UACCAGCACCCCCGAGUGGUCGGGACGUUUUAUUGGGCCUAAAGCAUCCGUAGCCGGUUCUACAAGUCUUCCGUUAAAUCCACCUGCUUAACAGAUGGGCUGCGGAAGAUACUAUGGAGCUAGGAGGCGGGAGAGGCAAGCGGUACUCGAUGGGUAGGGGGUAAAAUCCGUUGAUCCAUUGAAGACCACCAGUGGCGAAGGCGGCUUGCCAGAACGCGCUCGACGGUGAGGGAUGAAAGCUGGGGGGAGCAAACCGG
rnacentral:rRNA from 1 species